rnacentral:rRNA from 1 species
CCCCUACGGGAGGCAGCAGUGGGGAAUAUUGGACAAUGGGGGGAACCCUGAUCCAGCGACGCCGCGUGAGUGAAGAAGUAUUUCGGUAUGUAAAGCUCUAUCAGCAGGGAAGAAAAUGACGGUACCUGACUAAGAAGCCCCGGCUAACUACGUGCCAGCAGCCGCGGUAAUACGUAGGGGGCAAGCGUUAUCCGGAUUUACUGGGUGUAAAGGGAGCGUAGACGGUGCAGCAAGUCUGAUGUGAAAGGUCGGGGCCCAACCCCGGGACUGCUCUUGGAACUGCGUGGCUGGAGUGCAGGAGGGGC